GUGCUCGCUUCGGCAGCACAUACACUAAAACUGGGAAGGUACAGAGAUUAGCAUGGCCGCUGCGCAAGGACGACACGCAAAUUCGUGAAGGAGAGGGUGAAGAG